UACGAAGGGGGCUAGCGUUGCUCGGAAUCACUGGGCGUAAAGGGCGCGUAGGCGGUCAGCACAAGUCAGUUGUGAAAUCUCCGGGCUUAACUCGGAAAGGUCAACUGAUACUGUGCGACUAGAGUGCAGAAGGGGCAACUGGAAUUCUCGGUGUAGCGGUGAAAUGCGUAGAUAUCGGAAGGAACACCUGUGGCGAAAGCGGCUCACUGGACCAUUACUGACGCUGAGGCACGAAAGCUAGGGGAGCAAACAGG
rnacentral:rRNA from 1 species